rnacentral:rRNA from 1 species
AGUGAACGCUGGCGGUAGGCCUAACACAUGCAAGUCGAACGGCAGCACAGUAAGAGCUUGCUCUUACGGGUGGCGAGUGGCGGACGGGUGAGGAAUACAUCGGAAUCUACUUUUUCGUGGGGGAUAACCUAGGGAAACUUACGCUAAUACCGCAUACGACCUACGGGUGAAAGCAUGGGAUCUUCGGACCUUGCGCGAUUGAAUGAGCCGAUGUCGGAUUAGCUAGUUGGCGGGGUAAAGGCCCACCAAGGCGACGAUCCGUAGCUGGUCUGAGAGGAUGAUCAGCCACACUGGAACUGAGACACGGUCCAGACUCCUACGGGAGGCAGCAGUGGGGAAUAUUGGACAAUGGGCGCAAGCCUGAUCCAGCCAUACCGCGUGGGUGAAGAAGGCCUUCGGGUUGUAAAGCCCUUUUGUUGGGAAAGAAAAGCAGCAGGUUAAUACCCCGCUGUUCUGACGGUACCCAAAGAAUAAGCACCGGCUAACUUCGUG